rnacentral:rRNA from 1 species
UACGGAGGGUGCGAGCGUUGUCCGGAAUCACUGGGCGUAAAGGGCGCGUAGGCGGCCGAUCAAGUCAGGGGUGAAAGCCUGUGGCUCAACCACAGAAUUGCCUUUGAUACUGUUUGGCUCGAGACCGGAAGAGGUUGGUGGAACUGCGAGUGUAGAGGUGAAAUUCGUAGAUAUUCGCAAGAACACCAGUGGCGAAGGCGGCCAACUGGUCCGGAUCUGACGCUGAGGCGCGAAAGCGUGGGGAGCAAACAGGG